UACAGAGGGUGCAAGCGUUGUUCGGAAUUAUUGGGCGUAAAGCGCGUGUAGGCGGUGGUCCAAGUCGGGUGUGAAAGCCCUCAGCUCAACUGAGGAAGUGCGCCCGAAACUGAAUCGCUAGAGUGUCGGAGGGGAAGGCGGAAUUCCCGGUGUAGAGGUGAAAUUCGUAGAUAUCGGGAGGAACACCAGUGGCGAAGGCGGCCUUCUGGACGAACACUGACGCUGAGACGCGAAAGCGUGGGUAGCAAACAGG
rnacentral:rRNA from 1 species